rnacentral:rRNA from 1 species
AGAGUUUGAUCAUGGCUCAGGAUGAACGCUAGCUGGAGGCUUAAUACAUGCAAGUCGAGCGGGAUUGGUAGCAAUACCAUGAGAGCGGCGCACGGGUGAGUAACGCGUACACGACCUACCUCUGACAGGGGGAUAGCCCUGGGAAACUGGGAUUAAUACCGCAUAUUAUUCUGAUUAAUAAAGGAUUGGAAUGAAAGUUCAGGCGGUCAGAGAUGGGUGUGCGUCUGAUUAGCUAGUUGGUAGGGUAACGGCCUACCAAGGCGAUGAUCAGUAGGGGGCGUGAGAGCGUGAUCCCCCACACGGGUACUGAGACACGGACCCGACUCCUACGGGAGGCAGCAGUAAGGAAUAUUGGACAAUGGCCGCAAGGCUGAUCCAGCCAUCCAGCGUGCAGGAAGAAGGCUCUAUGGGUUGUAAACUGCUUUUAUCAGGGAAUAAACCUCUGGAUUCACUCCGGAGCUGAAGGUACC